rnacentral:tRNA from 1 species
GCCGGAGUGGUGAAACUGGUAGACGCAGGGGACUCAAAAUCCCCCGGUGGUAACACUGUGUCGGUUCAAGUCCGACCUCCGGCA